GAAAACAGACCGCCACCCUCGCGGUGGUAAGGGUGAAACGGUGCGGUAAGAGCGCACCAGCAUCCCGGGUGACCGGGGUGGCUC
rnacentral:RNase_P_RNA from 1 species